AUGUUUGUUAAAUGUACGAGGACUUGGGAGAUCUUCCAUGAAAAGCUGGCGCCUUUUCCAAAGGGGUCUUCGCCGUGUUCUUUUGGGGAAACGGACUCAACGCUGCCUUCUGUCUGCGUGCCUGCGGUCCCCAACGGCAGGAAGACCUGUGGCCGCAGUGCAGAGGAUGCUGUGACACUCACCGUGUUUUCUCUUGUCUCAUCACAGGUGGACGGGGCGGACGAUGAAAUCUCUUGGAGCUUGGAGAGUGUGUGUGAGAGCGACCUCGCUGACAGCAACCUCGCAGAAAGUGAUCGAGACUCGGUGGCGGAGCGCACCGACUGCCGCCAGGAUGAGGAGGCUGCAGGAACUCACGACGACGAUGUUGUGGAGGCCGGUGGGAGUGAGAAGACUGAGGCAAAGCCCCGGGCUGGGGGACAUGAGGACGAGGCGGCCCCAGUACCUGAGGUGGAGGUGGAGGAGGAGGCGGGCCAGCCCCGUGAAAAUGGCCAGGAGGAGUCCUUAGCCAUCGCCUGGGCUGAGCCGGAAGACGAGCCUGGCCCCAAGGUGGACGGGGCGGACGAUGAAAUCUCUUGGAGCUUGGAGAGUGUGUGUGAGAGCGACCAAUUUCUGACAGCAGAAAGUGAUCGAGACUCCACUGGGACACCUUAAAGCCUCAGCCUGGGACUGGAAGAGUCCAAACGUUUCCAUCUUGACCAGGAAACAAGAUCGACCUCACUCUUCAUCUAUUACGAGCCAACUUUAGUAUAAGUUUGGUUCUUUAUUGUCUAGAUUUAGUAUUAAAUUCUCAUACAUGUUUACUACUUGGUAUGCAAAAUUUGUGUAUUAAAUAAUCCUUAUCUAUCUAUUUGCUUUUAAACUAGUUUUCGGUAAAAUAAACACAUGUAUAGGAGAGCCCCUUAAGCA
rnacentral:lncRNA from 1 species